GUUAUUUUGGCAGAUAAGUGCAUUAAAUUUAGAAUUUAAUUAUAUAGUUUACUAUAAAUAAUAC
rnacentral:tRNA from 1 species